rnacentral:rRNA from 1 species
GACGAACGCUGGCGGCGUGCUUAACACAUGCAAGUCGAACGGAAAGGCCCUGCUUUUGUGGGGUGCUCGAGUGGCGAACGGGUGAGUAACACGUGAGUAACCUGCCCUUGACUUUGGGAUAACUUCAGGAAACUGGGGCUAAUACCGGAUAGGAGCUCCUGCUGCAUGGUGGGGGUUGGAAAGUUUCGGCGGUUGGGGAUGGACUCGCGGCUUAUCAGCUUGUUGGUGGGGUAGUGGCUUACCAAGGCUUUGACGGGUAGCCGGCCUGAGAGGGUGACCGGCCACAUUGGGACUGAGAUACGGCCCAGACUCCUACGGGAGGCAGCAGUGGGGAAUAUUGCACAAUGGGCGGAAGCCUGAUGCAGCAACGCCGCGUGCGGGAUGACGGCCUUCGGGUUGUAAACCGCUUUCGCCUGUGACGAAGCGUGAGUGACGGUAAUGGGUAAAGAAGCACCGGCUAACUACGUGCCAGCAGCCGCGGUGAUACGUAGGGUGCGAGCGUUGUCCGGAUUUAUUGGGCGUAAAGGGCUCGUAGGUGGUUGAUCGCGUCGGAAGUGUAAUCUUGGGGCUUAACCCUGAGCGUGCUUUCGAUACGGGUUGACUUGAGGAAGGUAGGGGAGAAUGGAAUUCCUGGUGGAGCGGUGGAAUGCGCAGAUAUCAGGAGGAACACCAGUGGCGAAGGCGGUUCUCUGGGCCUCUCCUGACGCUGAGGAGCGAAAGCGUGGGGAGCGAACAGGCUUAGAUACCCUGGUAGUCCACGCUGUAAACGGUGGGUACUAGGUGUGGGGUCCAUUCCACGGGUUCCGUGCCGUAGCUAACGCUUUAAGUACCCCGCCUGGGGAGUACGGCCGCAAGGCUAAAACUCAAAGGAAUUGACGGGGCCCCGCACAAGCGGCGGAGCAUGCGGAUUAAUUCGAUGCAACGCGUAGAACCUUACCUGGGUUUGACAUGGAUCGGGAGCGCUCAGAGAUGGGUGUGCCUCUUUUGGGGUCGGUUCACAGGUGGUGCAUGGCUGUCGUCAGCUCGUGUCGUGAGAUGUUGGGUUAAGUCCCGCAACGAGCGCAACCCUUGUUCACUGUUGCCAGCACGUUAUGGUGGGGACUCAGUGGAGACCGCCGGGGUCAACUCGGAGGAAGGUGGGGGUGACGUCAAGUCAUCAUGCCCCUUAUGUCCAGGGCUUCACGCAUGCUACAAUGGCUGGUACAGAGAGUGGCGAGCCUGUGAGGGUGAGCGAAUCUCGGAAAGCCGGUCUCAGUUCGGAUUGGGGUCUGCAACUCGACCUCAUGAAGUCGGAGUCGCUAGUAAUCGCAGAUCAGCAACGCUGCGGUGAAUACGUUCCCGGG